rnacentral:lncRNA from 1 species
UAUUAACUAUUAACUAGCAAGUUAUUUGAAUCUUCACCUAUGUAUCUAGUAUAGCAGUCUUUUUAGCUGCUGGAAAAUUGUGGUUAAACAUAUGACUAAUAUUUUGCUUGUUGAUUCUUGUGUUAACGUUAGUAUUAUGUGCUAAUGUGUGUUAAUCUAGUUUAUUUGUGUCUGUAUUUUUGUUUACAAAUGAUGGAGGUGCUCAACCAUUCGAGUAAAGUUUCACUUGUUUGGUCAUUUCUAUCAGUAUUACUCCAUUUCGUUCACUUUUUACUUGUCCAUUAACGACUUCAGAUUUGACCUCUUACUAUCUUCGACUUUGUUGCUUUCAAGGCUUUCGCCCUUUAUCGUCUUGUUUCUGGAGUGGUAAAACCAUGUUCAUGCACCAAUUGUCUUUGAGUAAUUUUAUUGGUGAUUAACAAUAAUAUACUGGUAGAACGGCUCAAUAAGAUCGAGUCAACUUUAACGAGACAUUUAUUGUUUUUGGUCAAUCUUUAAAAAGAAAAAUUAACCUAAAAUUUAUUAUAGGUAAGAAUUGGACUUCAAUUCUUUUUAAACUAGAGGUCUGAGGUUUGAGUCUCGUAAUAAUAUUUUGUUUAGCUAUAGAGUACUUUCCUCUUUGAUUGGUUCGGUGUGUCUCAAAAUCGAAUUAAUCGGGAAAUUCAAUCUAAAUAUCAAACAUUGGAUAAAGAAAAACUGAGACCUUCAAUAUAUAUAUAUAUAUAUAUAUAUAUAUACCUUUUCCUAUUAUAUAUAUAUGUUAAAAUAUCAUCUCUGACCUUUUCCUAUGUUUACUUUUCAUACAUAUUUUAAUUUCCUUUAUACAAAUUCUGACUUAGAUAUCGAUUAUGUCUACUUAAGAAACUAAAGAUAAUAAAAUGUUAAUGUCCUUUGAGUUGUUAUAUUCUAAUUUCUAACCCAUCAAUUUGAAUUUUUGACUUUUUGUGCAUUGUGUUAAAUUUAAAUCACUUUGUAAUCUUGCUGCGGCUAUAUUUACUAAAAUAUUUUCUUCGUCUAUUUAUUUGUCAAAUAUUUUAAAAAUAAAUUUUUAUUUUUAUUUAUCGUUUUGAAACAAUUUAAUUUUACUUUUAAUAUUAAUUAUUUAUUUUUCAAUUACUUCUUAAUAUCUAGACUAUACAUUAAUUAAUAUAAAUAUAAAUAUUAUAAUAAAAUAUUCAUAUUAAUCAAUAAUCAUCAUGAAUUUUACCUAUAAAUCUAUAAUAGGUAAAAAUUGGACCUCAUUCUUUUUAAACUAGAGUUCUAAGGUUUGAGUUUUAGAAUGAUUUUUUGUUUAGUUAGGGAGCACUUUCCUCUUUAAUUGAUCAUACGUGUCUUAGAAUCGAAUUAAUUGAGAAAUUCAAUAAAAAUAUCAAACAUCAAAUAAAGAAAAACUAAGGCUUUCAAAAUUCUGAAGCCUAUAAUUUUCGAUUUAAUCGCUUUAGUGGCUUGACCCUUUGACCGGCCCGGCCUCUUGAUAUCUCAUUGCUAAUUGGUUAAUGGUGAAACCAUAUUAAUGUACCAAAUGUCUUGAGUGAUUUUAAUAGGUGAUUAACAUUAAUCUUUUGACAUCACCUUUUUUUUUUUGUUUUCCACCCGGUGUUCGAAGCCUACAUUAGAGCUCCGACUAAAUCUGGAUCGCGCUCUGCAGGGCCCAUUCGGGGAUGGCUCUCCCAACAAGAUUUUCUCCAUACCCAGGGCUCGAACCUGAGACCUCUGAUUAAGGGUGAAACACUCCCAUCAGUGCACCACAACCCAUGUUGGUCUCCUGACAUCAUGUUGCUAAUUGGUAAAUAUCAGUUAAAUUUAGUCAAUUAACGAGGCAUUAGUAUGUAACAUUAGCAUAAAAUAGAUGUAUUUAAAUAAAGGAAAAAUUACGAGAAUAUACUAUUUAAGACUUUAAAUUACAUAAUAUUAUUCUAGUCUUUUUAUUUAUAACAUUAACAUUUUAAUUAUAAAUAUGACAAUUUAUUAUAAAACAAAUAGCUACACGAUUUAAGACCUAUUUUAUUGGUUAGUGAGCUGAUUUUAUGGGAAUCAUAUUUUACCUUUUAUUUUAUUUAAUUUUUAGAAUCUCUAUCACAAUUAUAUUUGAAUAUGUUUUCGUUAAUAAAUAUCUCAUUUUCUUUCUCUUGUUACCCUUUUCACGAAGGGAUACAAUUAGACAUUCAUCGUACUUUUUAUUGGUAUUAAUGUUGGAUUGUUGCACUAUUUUUUAUUUUUCAAUAUCAUCUUUUUAUCAAGACAAAGGAUUUGUCUCUCCUUCUUGAAAAUAUUAAGCAACAAUUUAUUUUCAUUCGUUUUCUUCUUUUUAAAAUCAUCUCUAAUAAAGCAAAUAAAUUAUUUUUACUUCUUGGAAAAAUCAAUUAUGAGUAGAAAAAUUACUAUAGAUAAUACUCUCAGAAAAAGUCUCGUUUAAGAAAUAUUCAUCUUUUCUCAUUAAGAAUUUUGAUUUUUCUUCAUACUUGUUCCCCCCUCUUCCCCCCCCCCUCAAAAUUACACAUUUUUGAGGAAAAAAUCACAAAAAUAUACUAUAUAUUUAUUAAAAAACAUAAAUCAAUACCAAUUGGGUUCAAAAGUGGCCCGAUUGGAAACAGCAAAACAAAGUAAACUACAAGAAAAAGAAAACAAACUAACAGAAAAGGAAAUAAACUCAAAUGUCUGGAAAAAAAAUCAGCUUCUCCGGUGUGACAAUAGCCGGAGAAUCCUCCCAAAGUGACGACCAGUCCUUCCAAAUACUAACCUCCUCUUGAUAUGAGCUUUGUUCGAUAUCGAUCCAGGUACGGGCUGCAAUCACGUCCACAUCAACAAAUCUCACUGAUGUAAUGGUUCAAAUACCUUUGAAGACUUCUUCUACCUGAAUUUUAUCGAUCUGAGCUAGAUCUCAAGUUAUGCACAAGAAUUUUGGGGACACGCUUCAGUCGCCAUCCAGAUUUGAAGACAAGAUCUAUCGAGAUAAGUUUUACCUUUAUAAUUUAAUUACUCAUCUUUGAGAUAUGUUUUGAUACCUAGUCCUUGAUUAUUCUCCUCAACAGGUUGAAUCCCACCGGGAUUAAUACCACUGUUUAAGUCGACUAAUCUCUGACCUUGCAUCGCUCAACCUUUUCAGGAGACUAAGGUAAUCUUUCACCUUCUUAGUUUAGUCCUCUCCUGAUUUGCUUUGAACUGAUGUGGUGCUCUUUUUCUUUUUUAAGCACCAUUAUAAUGUUUGUUUUGAACUUUUCGGAUCCUCAAAUUAGGAGUCUUUUCUUUGUCUUAUUGCAAAAUAGCUUUCGCCUGUUGUGAUAGUUCCUGCAUAUUUCGAUAUUGUAAAAUGAGCAAACGACUUAGUUAAAGCAUCAUCGAGGCUAUUCCCUUCUCUGAGGACGUGAAUCACCUCCACCCCAUGACUCCUUAUCAUUGUCUGAAUGUGUCUAAUAUCCCAAGCUAUCUGCCAUGGGACCUCCCAUACUCCAUGUAUAACUUUCUGAGCCACUAGUGAGUCUGUCUCAAUUAUCAAGGGAAGGAAAUUUCCUUGACUGCAGUAUUGUAACCCUUCAUUAAUUGCCAUGACCUCUGCCUCCAAAAUAGAUGUAGUAUUAAUUCUUCUAGAUUCUGCAUAUUUCAAAUCUCCUCGUAUAUCUCUAAUACAAAAGGCUAUACACCCAACUCCUGAUUCAAGCUGAUAAGAAGCAUCAGUAUUGCAUUUAUAUACUCCCAUGGGGGAUGACUCCAUCUCACCACCAUAGAUUUUGUCAAUGGAGCAUAUCCUUCAAGAUAUUUGACAAUUAAGGGCCAAUUUUGAGGGACAUUUUUUAACCAUGGAUAUCUACUCUUAGUAAAUAAGUAGAUGUUUCUAUGUAUCUCUACAAUCAUUAGGGUUGUUGACAUAUUUCCACCAUGCUUCAUUACAUUCCUCUUCUUCCAAAUUUCCCAAGUUAUGAAAACAGGAACUACUUUAAACAAUUGCUUCAAUUUAGGACUACCAUCAGCUUUCCACCAAUCUUUCAUAAUCUGUUGAAGCUGAUUAAUUGGAAAUGAUAACCCUGCAGCAUUUCUAAAAGUUUUCCAAACAGAUUGAGCACUAGGACAAUUGACAAAAAGAUGAGAGAAAGUUCCAAGAGCACUAUUAUUACAGUAGCUACAAUCAACCCUCUCCACUAUGUUCCUUCUAAUUAAGACCUCCCCAAUAGGAAUCCUUCUAAACCAUAAUCUCCACAUAAAAAAGGAUACCUUAAAAGGCAAACCUUUCUCCCAAAUUUUGGAGAUAUCUUCUAUAUACUCUCCUCUACUUCUGCAUAAUUCCCAGGCUGAGCUAACUUUGAAUUUACCAUCACUACUAGGCAUCCACCAUGCUUUAUCUCUUCAUUCAGUACUAGUAAAGCUUCCUAAGGUAUUGCAUAUGUGAUUGCAUAUAUCCUCAUUGAAAUUACUUUCCAGUGCAUUAAUCUUCCAUCCAUCUUCAGCAUAUAGUUCCUUGACAUUUCCAGUUGACUUUGGUUAUGUGAUAUAGGCAUCAAAAAAUGCAAAGCACACAGUUGUGUCCAGUUAUCAAACCACACACUAGCAUGUCCUUCUCUAGGUUCCCACCAGAUCUCUUGAUCAAAGAAACCCCUAGCUUGUAACAUAGUUUUCCAAACUUGAUAUCCUUCUUUUUAGUCCACCAAUUAUGGCCUUUGUCUUUAACAAUACUUAUUUCACAUAAAAUUAGUUCACAUGGUAUUUUUUGUUCUAAAAUUCCACCACAGCUUAGCAAAUAAAACUUUGGAGACAUCAAAUAAAGAUCUAAAACCUAAACCUCCCUCCUCCUUGGGCAGAUAAAUAUCCCCCUAUGCUACCCAGUGAGUGGCUCUUCCUUGUUCUUUAUAAUUCCACAAGAAUUUUGCAAAAAUUUAUGAAUAUCAUCAAUGACACAUUUAGGAGGCGUGAUAGCUGAGAGGAGGUAGACACGAAUACUCUGCAAUACAUGGUUAAUCAACACUGCUUUGCCCCAUUAGAUAAAAGUUUCCCUUUCCACAUUUGAAGUUUAUUCUGAAUCUUCUUGAUGAGCUCUUUGAAAUGAAUCUUAUUCUUCUUAGCAUGACCAAUAGGACAACCCAAAUAAGUUAAAGGAAAACUGCCUUUGCAGAAACCUGUGAUUUCCUCCACCAUUUGAACAGAGCUAAGAGCAGCUUUGUUAAACAAGUAAAAUAAACUGUUUUCUUUGUUUAUAAGCUGUCCUGAUUGCUGUUCAUACAUUUUCAAUGUGUGCAUUAUCAACUUGAGAGAACUCCUAUCAGCAAAGGCAAAAAUAAUUGUAUCAUCAGCAUAAGAUAAGUGAUUCAACUGUUCACUCCAUUUAGGAAGACCAUAUCCUUUAUAUUCCUCUUCUAGGAAUAGAUGAUUUAGAGCUCUCGUUAAUACCUCAGCAGUAAGUAUAAACAAAGCAAGAGACAAAGGAUCUCUUUGUUUAACUCCUCUUGAUUAAUGGAAAAAACCAUAUGCUUGACCAUUAAUCAAUAUAGAGUACCAAUUAUUAGCAAUAAUUCUCCAAAUCAUGUCAAGCAUCAUAGAAUUGAAACCCAUUUUUCCAUUACUUUAAUAAAAAAUCUCCAAUCAACCCUGUCAUACGCCUUUUCCAUGUCAAGCUUGAUAAUUACAUUAUCUGGUUUGCUCCUCAACCUAAUAUCAGUAACAAUUUCUUGAGCCAGCAAUACAUUUUCAGUAAUAUUUCUUCCUUUGACAAAUUCAGAUUGAUUCUGGGAUAUCAAUCUAGGAAGCAACACCUCCAUUCUAUCAUGCACCAAUCUAGAUAUGAUUUUAUUAAGAAAAUUACUCAAGCUAAUAGGUCUAAGAUCAGAAAAGGAUUGAGGAAAAUCCUUUUUAGGUAAUAGCACCAAGUUAGUAUGAGUAAUAGACUUAGGUAAAGUAGCUCCUUUGAAGAAAGCUUAAACUACUUUUAUCACAUCUGAACCAAUAGUGUCCUAACAGUUCUGAUAAAAACAACCAGAAAAACCAUCUGGUCCACAAAAGAUUUAUGCAUUUAACUCAAAUACUACCCUCUUAAUCUCAACCUCAUCAGGUAACUUGGUCAAUAUAUCAUUUUCCUUUUGUGAGAUUACAGGAUUAAUAUGCAUUAGUAGAGAUAAGUUAGAAUGAUUAACCCUGCAGUAAAUUGUUUGGUAAAAAAAUUAACCCUUUCCUCUGCAAUCGCAUUUUCUGAUUCUGCCCAUGAGCCAUCAGAUUUAAUUAUUCUCCUCAUGUAAAGCCUCUUUCUUCUUCCUCUCACUAAACUGUGAAAAAAUUUAGUGUUCAUGUCCCCUUCCUCAAACCACUGCACACUAGAUUUUUAUCUCCAAAACUCUUCUUCAAAGUGUAAAUAAACCUUCAGCUCUGUAUGAGCAUUCUGAAGAAUACUUCUGUUAGCGGGUGAUGGAUCGUCAAGAAAUAGUUGCUCCUUCAAUUUCACUAUCUCUUCUCUAAUUGCUAAUUGUUUAAAAAUAUCCCCAAAAUUUUCUUUACUCCACUUAGCUAAAGCCUUCUUGGUCCUCUACUGUUUCUGCUUAAGUUGUACAAAAAUAUCAUCUGAACUCUCAGCCACCCAGUUCUGCUCCACUUCUUCUUUAAAAUCCUCUCUUUCAGUCCAAAACUUGAGAAACCUAAAAGGUUUGACAAUAUUACAUUUACUGGCUCCAUAAGUAAGCAGGAGUGGGGCAUGAUCAGACCUAGUCCUAGCCAAAUGUUGUACCCAUGAAUUGCCAUAUAAGUCCAAAAAUAAAUUAUUCACCACUACCCUAUCCAAUCUCUUAAAAAUGCAUUCCCCAUCUACCCUACCAUUCUACCAGGUGAAAGGGUUUCCUGAGAAAGUAAUAUCAGCCAAACCACUUGCAUUUAAACAUUCAGCAAAAUCCUCAUACUCUUGGGGAUAUACUGGUAAACCACCAAUCUUUUCUUUUUCACUCAAUAUCACAUUAAAAUCACUCCCGAUCAUCCAGGGGACAACAUAUUCCUGACUUAUUGUGAAUAUCUCAUCCCAGAGCGAAAGUCUCUCAAUAGCAGAACAUUUUGCAUAUACAGCAGAUACCAAAAGUUGUUCCCCAUUUUCCAGAGUGAGUUGUAAAGUUAAUUGUUGCUCUGAGUCAGCUAUAACUCCUACAUAAACGUGUUGCUUCACAAACACCCAAAUUUGACCAUUCACAUUAUAGUUGACAUAGUGCAUCCCCAAUCUUCUUUUGUAUCUCUGAAUAUGCUUAGAAUUUUGAAAUGGCUCCAUUAAUGCAAUCAACAAAAACUUAUGAUGUUUGUGGAGCAUUUGAACUCUGUGAAAUGCUUGUUGAGUAUUAACAGACCUAAUAAUCCAAAAUAAAGCUUUGUACUUCAUUUAGAAACUGUUUUGGCAACCCUUCUAGCUUGAACCCUUGUAGGUAAAAUACAAUUACUGUCUCCAUUAGCUUUACCUUUUCUUCCUUUUGUGCAUAACUUAGGUGAUAAGCCUGCCCCUUUGCAUACUUGAACCAAGUUAGAGUCAUUUUCCCCCUUUUCAAUUUCUUCUAGGUAUUCACUGUCUCCUACUUCAAGCUCUUGAUUUUCCUUAUUUUGGUCUUUGGUUUAGUUGCUCCAUCUUAUGAGACACCAAAGCAUGCAGAGCUUCCAUUAGUGAUGAUUUGCUAGUAUUGAAAUUUGUAAUACUUGCAUUUGUGCACUCUUGCACCUCCUGGUUCUGCUGGAAUUGGAUCUGCACCUUACCUUCCGCCACCAUCUGCAAAGGUUCCUGGUAUGUUGCUAUUUCCAUGUCUUGUACUGUGACAAUUGUUUUCAUUUCACCCUCCAGCAUACUACUUGUAUUUUCAGUUUGUUCUUCCCCUAAUUGCUCACUUUUUUUAUCACUUGCAGGUGCAUCAUCACAGGCAGUCCCUACUCCAGUAACAGCCUUCACAGCUGCAUCAUAUACUACUACUGCUCCUCCAUCUAUUUGUUGUACAACAUUCUGCACUAGUGUUCCAGCCUCCUCUACCCUUUGCCCUAAAUACUCUUUCACUUUUGUGUCCAUGUUAUUAUUGUUGUUGUUGGUUUGUUUCUCUUGUUGUGUAAAUACCUCUGUGACCCAUUCCUUGGUUGAUACAUGCUGAUGAAAGUUGUCGUCUAUAUGCGUAUGAUUGUUUUUGUCUAUUUCUUUUGCCCUGCCAUUAGUCGAUAGAUUAUCACUUUGUUGUUCACUAUUUGCAUCUUCAUCGUUAAGAGCUGCAAAAGAGUUGCCAAUUCUCAUCGCUGUAUCAUCUUUUUGGUGUUCACUUUGCUUCUGCCUUGAGAUAAAUCUGUUUGUAGGGUGCCAUUUUUUUAGUUGUUUUUCAACACAAAUCACAGGUGUUCCAAUUGCCUCCAGUGAGUCGACAUUGUCCUGCCUCUCCUCCUCUUCAUCUACUGUUACUUUGAGUUCAUGAUGUAAUACUCUACAUUCCAUCUCUGCAUGACCUUGUAACUUGCAUGCUUGACAAUACUUUGGCAGCAAGUCAUAUUGUAUCUUAACCUUCUUAACUCUUGAUGUCUCUGUAUCCUCAUUUCUCACCUCUAGUUCUAUGACUUUAGGGAGAUCUGCUAAUAAAUCCACCUGUACCUUCACCUUUGCACAGCUCGGCCGAGUUUUAUUUAUCGUAGCUACAUCAAGGCGUAAUGGUUUCCCUACUAUUGAGGCUAGAGAGAAAAUGGAUUCCUUUACAAAAAAGGUGGGUCUUAAUUCUGGAAAGGAGAUCCAUGCCAUUGCUUGAGUGGUUUCCUCUUCUGCAUUAAAUUUUGCAUCAUAAAUAAGAGGUCGUAUCAUAUAUGAAUAUCCAUCCUUGGAUAAUAUAAAAUACGUUGGCUUAGACAUCAUAUUGAUGAAAUCUUCCUUUCAAGUGAAUCUUAUAAGAAUAUGUAUUUUUCGUAGUAACCCGAUUUUACAAUCCCCCUUAACACUGCAUUGCUUAGGAAUUUGUAUGCGCAAUUCAUCCAAAUCAGGCCAACCAUAUGAAAACUUCCCAAUAACUGCGUAUUGCAUAUUUUCUAUGAUGUUCAUCCUAUCGACUUCUUUUUCGGUCCAGACUAUCCUUGGAACCCCAUUGUUAUAGGAUACUUGUUUGAUCGAAAUUGGUUCCACUGCUGGCAUUAUGGUAUUUUUCUCCUUAUCACUUUUAAACAUAAUAUCAUAUACUGGGACAAAAUUCUUUCCGUCAUUCAAAUUACCAUGUGAUUUUCCAUCAUUUGAUGGUGUUGCGUUUGUAUGGCGUAGUAUGGGAAAUGCAAAAUCAUUGUAUAACUCUAAUGCCGGUCCAGCACUCAACGGCUAGCCGGCAGCCAUAAUCCUACCGGAAAUCGGAGCUAGGGUUUGAAAGAUCCUAAUAUUUUGGAGCUAAGUUUCUCAAUUAAGUAAAAAAAUAUACUAUUUUAUACCUUAAUUUACAUAAUAUUGUUUUAAAUUUUUUAUCUACAACAUUAACAUUUUGAUUCUUCGUAAUCAUAGGUUCAUACAAUAUCCAACCAUGCAUCAAAACCUCAAUAAAUGAGUCACAUAUCAUAUUUAAUUAUAAUAAUAUAUAUUGACAUUAUCUACGUAGGAUAAGGAUUACAUAACUUAAUAUAUACAAAUAAUGCACAUGCCAUCGAAAAACUAAUAUAAUAAAAAAGAUAUAACACAACCUUAUCAACAUUGAGGUAGUAAAGGGAUGGUGAUUGUUCAACAUCAUCAAAAAACUUGUUAGGUCCACAAUCAUCAAAAAUUAAUCAUACUUUGUUGCUUGAUUAUACUCCCUAUUAAUGGAGUCGAGCAGGGAUAAGGGGUUCACUUAAAUUUUAAAGAAAAUAAUAUUAUUUAUAUACGAUUAAUUUAUAUAUAUAUAUAUAUAUAUAUAUAUAUAUAUUACAUGUUGAAAUAUCCUUUGACUUUUCCUUAUAUUACUUUUCAUACAUAUUUUAAUUUUCUAAAAUUUUUGACUUAGAUAUCGAUUACGUCUAAGUAAGAAACUAUAGAUAAUAAAAUGUUAACGUCCUUCGAGUUGUUAUAUUCUAAUCCAUCAAUUUGAAUUUCUGACUUUUUGUGAAUUGUGUUAAUUUUAAAUCACUUUGCCUAAUCUUGCUGCAGCCAUAUCUACUAAAUACUUUCUUCGUUUAUUUUUAUUUAUUAAAUAAUUUUAAAUAAUUUUUUAUUUUUAUUUGUAAUUUUAGAAUGAUUUUUUAAAUUUUACUUUUUAUAUUAAUUACUUAUUUUUUUCAACUACUUCUUAAUAUCUAGACUAUACAUUAAUUAAUAUAAAUAUAAUAAUGAAUUUCAUAUUAAUCAUCGUGAUUUUUUUGAUAUAAAGUCAAAGUGGACGGGGAUAACAUUUUUUAAUAGUUUUACAUGUCCUUUUCAUUUUCUUGAAAUGACAAAAUUAAAUAUGUUUUUGGAAGAAAUAAGAAAGAUAUUGUUUCCAAAAAAAAAAGAAAGCUAUUAUUUUAUGUUAAGAUAUUCUAAAAAAAAAGUAUGUGAUUUGAGAUUUUGUAAAUCUUGAACUCCCAUAAGAAAAUAUUUUAUUUAUAUAUAAUUAAAAUUAUUUUAUAUAUAUAUAUAUAAUAAAUAUUAGAUUUUUUUCAUUUUUUUACCAAUGAAAAACUGAAAAAUACACCCUGGUGGACCCCCUCCCCUUCUCACCUCAACCGCCACACGCACACUGCCCCAACCCCCCUUCCCCUCAAUUACUGCAAUAUGUUCACCUCAAGAAGUUGUCUCUUUUAUAUUGUCCAAGUGCUUUGUAUCUCUUUUGACCUUUUUUGUUUAUUUUUUCUUCCACUUCUAAUAAAUUGCCAUAUAAAUCACAUUAUAAAGGUCUAAAUCUACUCUCCAUUAAAUCAAUAGUAUAUAAAAUGAACAUAAGGUUAAAAGAAAAAAAUAGGAAAGGGCACAUUACUGUGAAAAUGAUUUAUAAAGUAAAAUCCUUUGUUUUACUGUGUUGUACUUCUCGUUUUACCUUUUAAUGAAAAAAAUUAUAACCGCACAAAUAUUAUGACAUAUUUAAGAUUAUAAGAUUCGAAUGUUUUAUAUGUAUACAGUUAUUAUUUUUCCAUGUUUACAUCACAAAUUCAAAUGUUUUUAUUUUUUUCUUAUUUUGUAUUAAUUUAUAUUAUGCCACACUUAUUCAAACAGGUGAAAUAGUAAACUCUCGUUUGUAUAGAUUUUGAAAUUGAAAGUUUGAGUUUUUGAAGUUGUCUGGACUUACAUUUUACUUGAUUUUUUUUUUGAUGUUUUGUAAGUGGAAGUCCCGAAUCACUAAUCUAAGCCAGUUUUUGAUAACUCUAAAAUCAUAUUCUCAAAAUGAAAUCAAAUUUCGUGAUAAAACGCUAGCUAAAUAUCUAGUAAAAUAAUUGAGAUGUGCCUAAACUUACUAAAAUAUCAUCAUCAUUAGUGGUAAAAGUGGCACAAAAUAAUGACCAAAAGGGAGGGGGUGUCUUGGUGAACAGAUUGCGUUAAUUGAGGGAAGGGGGUGGGGGGGGGGGGCAGGGGGGGGGGGGGCUGGGGGGGGGGAAGGGGAAGGGGUCCACCAGGGUGUAAGGCGUGGUAAUCCCUGUGCCUUAUAAGGUGUGUGGGGCCGUGCGCCUUCCCCUUAACAUUGUUAGACGGCGUUAACAGGACAAGGGGCAAGGCGUGGUUAGCCCUUUACCUUUUCCUCUUUGGUAUUUUUCAGUUUUUCAUUACCCUUUUGGCAUUUUAGCAAAAAAUUGUUGCCAUUUUGGCUCUGGACGGUUGUUCUUCUUAGUUCUCUUGCUUCGUAGUGUCACAGACAAUCCAUCUAUCCUUAUCUUGUUUCCAAGUUCACUUGUCAUUCAAAUAGACAUCAAGUUUCCUUUUUUUAAACUACACGUCGUUUUACUGCAUAGUCUUAUUUCCAUUUUAUUGCUUGGUUAUAGAGGAAAUCAAGUUGGAACUUUGAAGCAACCACGGAAAAGUUUAAAAUUAGAGUAGAGGCAAGUGAAAUGCAUGUUUCAUCUUAUACCGGGGAACAAGAGUAUAGGUCUAAAUCCAGAUUCUCUUUUUUACUUAGUGAGAUAGGUAAACACUAUAAUUUAAAAUGUUUGCUGGACUUGUGAUCAAAGAAUCUUGCUAGUCAAACCAAAGGUUUGGGAGUCAAGAUUGUCUUAUCUUAGUUGACUACUUUUCUACUUGCCUAAUCUUGCCUUCUCAAUUUAAAACUAUCUUUUGUCCAAGAUAAAUUUGAAAAUCAUCAAAUUUGUUCAGUUUCUUUGACCUUACCAGAAAAAUGACCGAGUCUAUGACAGACUGCUUUACAAAAUUACAACUUGGAAUGUGUAAACUUUGGCUCAUUUACUCUCUUGCUGUUCUCGUAGUUCUCCAUUAUUUCUUAGUGACACUGAUAAUCCAUCUACCCAUUAUCUUGUUUUCAAGUUGACUUUUCAUUCAAAUAGACAUCUAGUCAAAGACGUUUUUACAAUCAUUAAAUAGUUUAAUAAAUUCUGAAUCCUCUACAUGAUCGCGUACUCCCUGCAUCUUUUUUUCCUCUUCCAACUUGCAUUAUACUUUAGCUAGUGUCUUCAAUUUUUGAACUUCAUGUUACAUUUCUAAGUUGGUGAUUAUUAAUGGUUACGAAUUGCCACCCCAUUGUACAUCUGGCCAUUACGCAAUGGAAUUUCUCCAAAGCUUCCAAAAUAAUAUGGUAGAUCGAGUAAUCGUAACAUUCAUUGUGUUUUAAAUAUUUCUUGCGAAGUUCUUUGAAGUGAAUGGGAUAACUAAUGAAGAAGUGUGUGCUUGGGCAUGCUAUCUAUUACAACCAAAUGCUUUAGAUGGAAGUAGAUUUCAUGUACAUUUAAGGCCCCUUUCCGCCUGCCACAUCCCAACGCUCUUUUUUGGAACAUUGAGUUUACUUGUUUGUACCGAUUCCUCAACAUUGUUCAUAACAAAGAUUUGUUGUUCUUGCAGGGGAUGCAUUUCAGUUUACGAAAGGAUGAAGAAUAUAGAGAAGACCCUUCUGUUUAUACCUGGCUCUCCAGAUAUAUAUAGUUAGUGCCAUACCUGACUUUAUCUUUUGUUAGCAACACAAAUUGUCGUUGUGUCCGGAAAACUAAUCCAUCGACGUAAGUGUUAUUUUGCUAUCUAAUCUAGACGUGUAAAUACCACCUGAGGAAACGUCGUACUGUUAGUUGAUAUUUUGCUAUUUGGAUCUUCACCUAUGUAUCUAGUAUAGCAGUCUUUUUGGCUGCUGGAAAAUUGUGGUUAAACAUAUGAGUAAUAUUUUGCUUGUUGAUUCUAGUGUUAACAUUAGUAUUAUGUGCUAAUGUGUGUUAAUCUAGUUUACUUGUGUCUGUGUUUUCGUUUUUAUAUGAUGGAGGUGC